CCCUGAGAUGGUCUUGGCCUGAGGACACUCACCUCUCUUUCCCCAGGAGUGUCUUUUAGGAAGAGAGACAAAUAGCCAGCAGUCCCACAGCGACUCAGGGGAGUGCCAGGGUUCAAAUCCUGCUCCUGCUAGAUGCCACUUCUGCUGCUCUUCAUUGCUGCCCUAGACAAGGCCAGGCCCUGCGGCAAGCUGCAAGUCUUCCUUCUGUUACCUUUACCAGCUCUACACUGUCAUUCACAGAUGAGAAAGCUGAGGAUCAGAGAGCUCACACAUUUCCCCCAAGGUUACACAGUCAGUAAGAGAUACUAUUAGGAUUCCAAUGACCUGCUCUUAAAGUUCAUCU
rnacentral:lncRNA from 1 species